rnacentral:rRNA from 1 species
UACAGAGGGUGCGAGCGUUGUCCGGAAUCACUGGGCGUAAAGGGCGCGUAGGCGGCCUGAUAAGUCGGGGGUGAAAUCCUGUGGCUCAACCACAGGGCUGCCUCCGGGACUGUCGGGCUCGAGCACAGUAGAGGCAGGUGGAAUUCCCGGUGUAGCGGUGGAAUGCGUAGAUAUCUGGAGGAACACCGGUGGCGAAGGCGGCAUCCUGGACCAACACUGACGCUGAGGAGCGAAAGCCAGGGGAGCAAACGGG